rnacentral:rRNA from 1 species
UGGGGAAUCUUGGGCAAUGGGCGAAAGCCUGACCCAGCGACGCCGCGUGGGGGAUGAAGGCCCUCGGGUUGUAAACCCCUUUCAGCGGGGACGAAGCGAAAGUGACGGUACCCGCAGAAGAAGCCCCGGCUAACUACGUGCCAGCAGCCGCGGUAAGACGUAGGGGGCGAGCGUUGUCCGGAUUUUUUGGGCGUAAAGCGCGCGCAGGCGGCCCGUUAAGUCGGUUGUGAAAACCCGGGGCUCAACCUCGGGCCUGCAUCCGAUACUGGCGGGCUUGAGGCAGGUAGGGGAGAGUGGAAUUCCCGGUGUAGCGGUGAAGUGCGCAGAUAUCGGGAGGAACACCGGUUGCGAAGGCGGCUCUCUGGGCCUGUCCUGACGCUCAGGCGCGAAAGCUGGGGGAGCAAACAGG